AGCUUUUCACAUCUGUGCUGAGAUUUCCUCAGACACCAACCCAUGAGGACUGGUCAGACUUUCAAGAUAAGUGAAGUU
rfam:Schistosoma haematobium scaffold722_18, whole genome shotgun sequence.